CGCUGUCACUCCUACGGGAGGCAGCAGUGGGGAAUAUUGCACAAUGGGCGCAAGCCUGAUGCAGCCAUGCCGCGUGUGUGAAGAAGGCCUUCGGGUUGUAAAGCACUUUCAGUCGUGAGGAAGGUAGUGUAGUUAAUAGCUGCAUUAUUUGACGUUAGCGACAGAAGAAGCACCGGCUAACUCCGUGCCAGCAGCCGCGGUAAUACGGAGGGUGCGAGCGUUAAUCGGAAUUACUGGGCGUAAAGCGCAUGCAGGUGGUUUGUUAAGUCAGAUGUGAAAGCCCGGGGCUCAACCUCGGAAUUGCAUUUGAAACUGGCAGACUAGAGUACUGUAGAGGGGGUAGAAUUUCAGGUGUAGCGGUGAAAUGCGUAGAGAUCUGAAGGAAUACCGGUGGCGAAGGCGGCCCCCUGGACAGAUACUGACACUCAGAUGCGAAAGCGUGGGGAGCAAACAGGAUUAGAUACCCUGGUAG
rnacentral:rRNA from 1 species